rnacentral:rRNA from 1 species
UGCACAGGUGGUGCAUGGCUGUCGUCAGCUCGUGUCGUGAGAUGUUCGGGUUAAGUCCCGCAACGAGCGCAACCCUUAUCCCUAGUUGCCAUCAGUAAGCUGGGAACUCUGGGGAGACUGCCGGUGAUAAACCGGAGGAAGGCGGGGAUGACGUCAAGUCCUCAUGGCCCUUACAUCCCGGGCUACACACGUGCUACAAUGGCAGGUACAGAGGGCUGCGAAGCCGCGAGGUGGAGCGAAUCCCAGAAAACCUGUCUCAGUCCGGAUUGAAGUCUGCAACUCGACUUCAUGAAGGCGGAAUCGCUAGUAACCGCGAAUCAGCAGGUCGCGGUGAAUACGUUCCCGGGCCUU